UACGUAGGGCGCAAGCGUUAUCCGGAAUUAUUGGGCGUAAAGAGCUCGUAGGCGGUUUGUCGCGUCUGCCGUGAAAGUCCGGGGCUCAACUCCGGAUCUGCGGUGGGUACGGGCAGACUAGAGUGAUGUAGGGGAGACUGGAAUUCCUGGUGUAGCGGUGAAAUGCGCAGAUAUCAGGAGGAACACCGAUGGCGAAGGCAGGUCUCUGGGCAUUAACUGACGCUGAGGAGCGAAAGCGUGGGGAGCUAACAGG
rnacentral:rRNA from 1 species